GAUUUAGAGCAGAAGAGAGACUUACAUUACACAAGGAUCACUGUACCUACUGGGUUCAAAAACAGUUUGCACAUAGAAGAAAGAAAACCAGUUUAGAAAGGAAUAUAGUAAUCCACGUAAGUGAUAACUGUGACUUGGUAUCAGGGUGGUAUCAAUAGAAAUUUUGAGAAAUAACUGGGAAUUCUGCAUAUAUGUAAAGAUAUUACAAUAGGAUUUCCAACAAAUUGGAUGUGUAUAUGAGAGAAGGGAAAGAUCUGAAAUGAAGCCAGCAUGUUUGUUUCAUCAACUGAGCGGAUGCUAUUGCCAUCCACCUAUGUGAGAAAUGAGAAAGAAUCUUAGUGGAGUAAGUUUGUAGGGGGCAAAGGAAACGAAAACUUCAGUUUUGGGCAUGCUAGUUUUGAAAUAUCUAUUUGACAUCUCAAUGAAAUGUCAGGUAGGCAGGGAUAAUAACGUGGUUAGAAGAGAACAAUUAGUGUGGCGUCAUGGAAGCCAAUAAAGAAAGUAUAUCAAGGACAAUGGACUUGAUGUUGAUAAGCCAAGUAUGGUAAGAAUUGAAAAGAUGGCCAUUUGAUUUGGCAAUCCAGAGUUCAUUGGUGAUCUUGACAAGGAUGCUUUUGUUGUAAUUAUCAGAGGAAACACCUGAUUGGAAAGGAUUACAAAUUGUAAGAGGAUGGAACUAGUGUUACUAGCAAUGGUCAACACUCUCUAGCUAUUUUGUUGUAAAAGGGAGAAGACAACUGGAAUUAAAACUAAUGGGCAAAAUGUGGUUUAAAGCAGGAUUAUGUUUCAGAUUGGAGAAGAAUAACAUUUUUGUUUUGCUGGUGGUGAUUACUAUGACUACAUAAGGAAAAAAUAGUGACGCAAAGAAAAAGAAGUAAUUCCAAUGUGUAGUUUUAAAUAGGUGAAAUGAAUUGUAUUUGUGCAUAAGGGAAGGUUUUACUGAGGAGAGAAUAUUUUUAUCUCAAGAAACUUGAUAGAGAACAGAGUAUAUGAGUUUGGUUGUGGGUACAUAUAUGAGGCUGUGAGACUUUCUGAAGCUUCUCCCUGGUUACUUCAAUUUUAUCAGUGGAAAAAGAAGCAAAGUCAUGAACUGAGAGCAUUAGGGUGGAGGUGUUCAGAAGAAAGGAAAAACUGUGAAAUAGUUCUCCAAGAUAGUGGAGAGUACAUGGACUGGUUAAAUAUAUUAUAUUGUGGGCAGCUGUAGGAGUCCUCUAACAAUUUGUCAAAUUGAAUUUAAAGUGAGAUCAUUAAGACCUGUGUGUUUCUCUGUGCAUCUUUAAUUGCACAGGUGCAGGUGUUGAAGAAACAGUGAGUUAGAUUUAUGUAGGGCUGUAAUUUUGCCUAAUGAAAGAUGUUAAGGGGCCUUGAAAAAUAUGCGGGAUCAAUUGAUUUAAGGUCAUGUUGGCAUCAAAUGACUGCUAGAGUUGGGAUACUAGAGCAAAUGAGCUAGAAAGAUAGAAGAUAAUGAUCAGAGACAUAGAUGCAUGAAACAGGGAUUAUAGAAGUAUGGACACUACUGGUAAUGGAUAUGUCUAUAAAUGACCUGGACUUAUUUGGCUGCAAUAGAGUGGAGGACAAGAUGUUAGAGGAAAGAAGAUUAAGGAAUUAAGAUGCCAAAUUUUAGGAAGGAUAUCAUAUAUGUGUUUAUUGAAAUUGCCAAUAACUAAAUUAGGAGUCAUGUUGAAGAGAGUGGCAGUUAGGCAGGAGAUAAAAUAGUUGAGAAACAAGGAGGGGUUAAUUGCAGUAUCAUUAAAUGGUUGCAACAGUGAAGAUAAUGAUCAAUAUAAUCUGCCGACCAGAGAUUGAAAGCUGGGAUUUACAGGGAUGGGAGGAAAAUCGUAUAGAAACUAUAGUAACAAUAGAAGUGGCCGUGUGUCAAUGUGAUCCCAUCUCAUGUGAUUUUUAAAACUGUAUUAUAUUUGUCAUACUGUAGGAAUCAUUAAGUAAUGAAAUCUAUUUGACUCAUGUGUUGAUAUUUAGAAUAGGGAAGUAAGAGUAAACACAAGGUGUAAUGAAAGAGUACAUGGAUGAAAAUCUUCGGAGAAAAUUUUGUGUUAGAGAGAAUUUGCAUGAAAGAUUCUGAUCUCUGAGAGGAACUUAUUUUGCAAUUCUUUAAUAAGGCAGUUUUACAAGACAUGACUUCAACAUCAUCCCAUAAAUAAAUACUGAACUUCUAUUUCUUGCCUAGUUCUCUACUGAGUUCUUUGGACACAUAGAUGAAUAAGGAGCAUCCUUACCCUUAAGGAGCUCACAGCUGGGAUAAACUUAAUUGGACAAUAAAUGCAAUAAAUAAGUUCCUUGCAAGACAAAAUGGUGGCCCAAAGGAAAAAGUGGUCAGCAAGGUCAAAGAGAGAAGCCCUCAUAGGGGAAGAGCGUUGAACUGAUCUUAAAGUAUGAGUGUAGAUCAAGGAUUAAAAAAGAAAUGAGAAGAACUUACUCUAAUCUGAAAACAAAACACCCACAAUGUAUAAUUUUAUGCAGACAUUCAUAGAGAAUUCCUUCAGAGAGCCAAAACAAUAUAGUCCAGGUGCCUAAAAUGUAGGAUAACUUGUUUGAUUAAAAAUACUGAAAUUUGAGAAAUGAGUGGUUAAUUGGUCCCUUCAACUCCGUUUGAAUGUAAUUGAUCAUAUAGUGUUCUUCUGGUGGUAUGUCUGUUCAUCACAUAACUAGUACGAUUAAGACAUUUGUCAAAAAGUAAUUUUUUAAAGUGAAAGUCUAGAUGAAAAAAAAUUGUGGUAACAUCUAUGUAGCAUAAAAUUUACUACCUUAACCAGUUUAAAGUUACAUAUGUUCACAUUGAUGUGCAACCGACCUCUAGAAAUUUGUCACCUUACAAAACCGAAACUCUGUACCUAUUAAGCAACAGCAUCCCGUUUCCUCCUCCCCGACUCCCUGGCAACCACCAUUCCACUUUUUCUGUUUCUAUGAAUUUGACUAGGUCUCUCAUACAAGUGGACUAGCUUAUUUCACUUAGUAUAAAAUCCUCAAGGAUUAUUCUUGUUGUAGCAUGUGUCAAAAUUUCCUUUCUUUGAAAGGUUGAAUAGUAUUUUAUACAUUUUGUUUAUACAUUUAUCCAUAGAUGGACACAGGGUUGCUUUCACAUUUUGGUGAUGGUGAAUAAUGCUGCUAUGAACAUAACUGCACAAACAUCUCUUCGAGAUCUUGUUUUUAAUCCUUUUGAAUAUAUACACAGAAGUUGAAUUGCUACAUCAUAUGGUAAUUUUAUUUUUAAUUUUUUUGAGGAAGCAUCAUACUAUUUUCCAUAAUGAUUGCACCAUUUCACAUUUCCAGCAACAGAACAGAGUUCUGGUUUUUCUACAUACUCACCAACACUUGUUAUUUUAUGUUUUUCUGACAGUGGCCAUCCUGAUAGGUAAGAUGAUAUCUCAUUAUGGUUUUGAUAUGCAUUUUCCUAAUAAUUAGUGAUAUUGAACAUCUUUUCAUAUGCUUCUUGGCCAUUUGUAUAUCUUUGUUGAAAUAUCUGUUGAGACCCUUUGGCCAUUUUUUAAUUGUGUUAUUUUGUUGUUGAGCUGCAGGGAUCCUUUAUAUAUCCUGGAUAUUAACCCCUUAUUAGAUGUAAUGAUUUGCAAAUAUUUUCUCCCAUUUUAUAGGUUGCCUUUUCACUUUGUUGAAUGUGUCUCUCAAAAUUUUUUGCCUUGAGUGAGUUCAUAGAAAAUCCAUUACAGUAUUUGAGAUUCAUGGAAUAGGGAAGAUAAGUCAUUGUCCUGG
rnacentral:lncRNA from 1 species